rnacentral:lncRNA from 1 species
CGGUAACGAUGACAGCAGCGAGUGCACCGAUCAGAGCUCUCCUCGCGCGGUGCUAGACAUCUCGGUAUCCGGUAGUGUCGACUCCGAUGAGAGCUCCUCCGUUGAGCAGCCAGCGGAGUCGAAUCACAAUACGCAGUGGAGGAACCUGAUCAGUGGAUUGAUACUCAGGAGGAGGAAGUCGAUGGCGAGAGCGGGGACAUUCCCUCAGAGAACCAAGACCACAGGGCUUAAGAGGUACCUGGAGAGGAUGCGGAGCGGCAAGAACCAGAUCGAUUGCGGCGCCAUUGCUCCUGAGAUCCUUCCUGAGAUCAGCAAGUGGAGGCCAUCAUGGAGAAGCUUCGACUACAGUGAGCUUUGUGCUGCAACUGACAAAUUCAGUUCAGGUGAUAUGCAAAACUUACUUCUUUGUUGCUGCAAUGCUGUCACUCGAUUAGGCCAUGUUACUAUCAUUGCAGAACUUAUGGGAUGUAGCUUUAACACUAAGCUAUGAAUUUAUAACUGCAGCAGUAUAAUUUCACCAAGGAAACAUAGGGCUUGAGAUUCAAAUCAUGAACUGUUAUUUAGUGUAAUGAUGACUGAUUACUGAUUAGAAGUUAGAAAAGUGAGAAGUAUUAAAGUAUAAGUGCAUAACACUGUAAUACCAAAUCAUUAACAAAUAGGGCCUGAUUUUGUUCUACAUUGCGGUAACUCUAGCAUAUAAUACAGAAAUCUUAGCUGUUAUGCUCUGCCUCUAUAUCAUAGCUCCAAGGGUCAUGUGAUACAAAGUACAGCUUUUGGCCUAAUUAUAUUAUCUUCAUCUAUGUUAAAUAUUCUCUGAAUCUUUUGCUUCAUGCUUGAUAUUACUAGAAAAUUUGAUCGGAAAAGGCGGGCAUGCUGAGGUGUACAAAGGACAUCUUGCUGAUGGACAAUUUGUAGCAGUGAAGAGACUAACAAAAGGUGGUAACAAAGAGGACAGGAUUAGCGAUUUCUUAUCUGAGCUUGGAAUAAUAGCUCAUGUUAACCAUCCAAAUGCGGCACAGCUCUUGGGGUUCAGUGUGGAAGGGGGCUUGCACUUGGUUCUUCAGUUCUCACCUCAUGGAAGCCUGGCUUCUGUUCUUCAUGGUAUGGUUUCCUCUAAAUAUUCUUUACUUAAUGAAUCCAAUUUCUGAGAGAUAUGCUGCAUUGCUGCUAUGUGGUGGCAUGUUACAUCAUAUAUCAUUUUUUAGAAAAGUAAGAAAUAUAUAGACCUUACUAUUAGGAAUCAACUAGAGAACAGAUAUCUCUUGACAUUCAUGCUACCAUGUAGUACAACAUAUUCAUUUAGGCAGUAUCUGAACUAUGAAAUGUAGUUCUCCAAUAAGUAUGUGCGAAUUUGUGAUUUCCAUUUUGGUAGGCUUCAUACAAAUUUUACAUUAUCACUUCUUGUAGCCCUCAUUUCAAUUGCCUCUUAAAUGCAUAUACUAUAGGCCGUAUCACAUAUCUGAACUCAAGCAUCAUCCUCUUUCUAAAAAAAAAAUCAAUAUAAGAGAAUACUUAGAAUACCCUUAGUCUGGUGAUAAAAUGGAGUUCAGCUGAACAGGCACAAAGGGAGCCCUCAAGUGGAAGGCUAGGUUCAAUAUUGCUCUUGGAAUUGCUGAAGGACUGCUUUAUCUACAUGAAGGCUGCCAUCGACGCAUAAUUCACAGAGACAUCAAAGCAUCAAAUAUCCUUCUAACUGAAGAUUACCAACCUCAGGUAUGUAUUCUACUACCAGUCUCUUGCCGUAGUCCUAUCUGUUAUAUGAUUCCUAGGGUUCUUUUAAAUGCAACAGUUUUUACUCCCUCAUUGCACAGAUCUCAGAUUUUGGACUUGCAAAGUGGCUUCCUGACAAAUGGACUCAUCAUGUUGUGUUCCCCAUUGAAGGGACAUUCGGGUGAGUUCGAUAAGUUUUUUUCAGUUUCAUCACAAUGAUUUAAUCGUACCCAGAAAAAGAAACAAUGCCAUUGUUGGUUUUAACUUAGACUUUACACCCUUUCUUAGGUAUAUGUCUCCAGAGUAUUUCAUGCACGGGAUCAUAAAUGAGAAGACUGAUGUGUUUGCAUAUGGAGUUUUGCUUCUUGAACUAGUGACAGGACGGAAAGCCGUGGAUUCCUCCAGACAAAGCCUAGUAAUAUGGGUAAUAAAAGCAAAUCUCUAAUAUGCUCCAUUAUACAAAAAUUCAAAUCAGCUCAUUUUAUAUCAUUGUCUGGUCAUAUUGAGAGAGGCAAGUGAUGAUCAAAAGUUAAUUCUACAAUACUUGAAUGGAUAACAUGAACUGGUAUAAUCACAUACAUCUGAAGCCCUUGAAUUCACAAGCUGUUGUUUGUCAUGUGCAUAGGCAAAACCAUUGCUCGACUCGAACAACAUGAAGGAACUAGUGGAUCCUUCUCUUGAUGUUGGAUAUGAUCCAGAAGAAAUGGCUCACAUCCUAGCAGUGGCAUCCAUGUGCAUUCACCACAGCUCAAGCUCGCGGCCUAGCAUGAAAUCGGUGAGUGCGAUGAACACGCUAACUAUACGGCCAUUGUAAAGGCUAAAAAAGAAACAAUUUGGAUUGUAAACUGACCUGUUGGUUUGAUGCCUGUAGGUGGUCCGUUUCUUGAAGGGGGAUAGGGAAUCACUCGAAAUGAUGCAAAUGCAAAGACCAAAACUCAUGAAACCCCUCAUGUUCGACUCCGGCGAUUCAGAGGAUUAUACUCGCUCAAGUUACCUC